AUGAACCUUUGAGGGUUGAGCUGGCGAUUUAAUUCGCAUGUGCUUACCUUCUCAUCCUUUUAUAACACCUGUGCACUUUUUGAAGGGGAAUAGUAGGUGAUGCAAAUCAUCGAGAUCCCCCUUCGAACUCACAUACACUUUAUUUAUUAUCGAAUGUUCAAACGCUUAACAGCAUUAAAAUA
rnacentral:misc_RNA from 1 species